CAUUUAAGUUUCAGCUUUGCAACCAACACGGGAAACCUCACCCGGCCCAGACACGGAAAAGAUUGACAGAUUGAUAGCUCUUUCUCGAUUCUGUGGGUGGUGGUGCAUGGCCAUUCUUAGUUAAGAGAGUCGUGU